AUGUCUGAAUCAGUAAAUUUGACUGUUUACUACGGCGCUGGUAACGUUCGAUAUAAUGAGUUGGGAGUUGAUCUUAGCGAGUUUAAAAAUGGUGUCAUGACACUAGCAGACCCGGACAGACUGGACAUUAGACAAUUGAAGUACUGGUUGAUAACUAGUUUCGGGCUUGAUCCUGAAGUAUGUUCCGUCAGUAUUCACGCAUUGUGGACCAAAUCUUGUAAAAAUGUCAAGUGGGAGUUGAUGCCGGUAGAUAGGAGCCAACAUUGGUUGUCCCUGUUAAGACGCUGCCGAGACCGAAGAAUCCACCCAUAUGUACUUGUGCAACCUGUGCCGAAGGAGGAGAAUGCCGUACAACUCCACAGGGGGUAUGAAACCGGUCAGGGCAGUGAAGUGGCGACCGAGAUUGUUUUAUCCGGGUCACAGCCACAAGAUGUGUAUGCUAGCCAACCCGAUAAAGAGUCGGAGUACGUGCCACACAAUGUUUGUGGUCCUGAUACUGGGCAGAGUAGCCAGUCGAUAAUAUUAGCUGGUUCUGGUUUUGCUGACGGGGAUGAGGAAGGGGAUGAAAUGCAGAGGGUGAUGGAGCAAGAGGACGAGGAUGGAUUGGUGGAGGAACUGGAUUCUGAAAAUUCUGAGGAUGAAGUGGAGGUACCGAUUCCUUCUGCAUGGGAGCAGGACAUAUCCACUGGCCUUACGGUCAACGAUGGCCAUGAGACUCCAUGGCAGUAUAAUCUGAACCAAGUACAGAUAGGGGCUAUGUUUGAUACAAAGAAAAAAUUGAAGUAUGCGGUGAUAAAGUGGGCUAUGUCUACGCAGAGGGUUUUCCUGACACACAUAUCAAGUCCAACAAACUAUACCGUGAAAUGUGUUGAAACAAGUUGUCCUGGGAAGGUGCACGGGCAUGUGCCGAAGUAUGACAUCCACUGGGUUGUCACCAUUGUCGUCUCACAUAAUUGUGUGAGGAAGAACCUGUUGGUGAAGCAUCCGAACCUGACUUCAAGUCUCAUUGCGCAACUCAUGUAUACUGAGAUAGUAGAGAAGAAAGAUAUGGAAUCAAAACACAUCCAGACAGCAGUGAAGGUCAGAUGGAAUUAUGUCAUUCCUUAUGGGAAGGCUUGGAGGGCUAAGCAGAAGGCUAUGGAGGAAAGGUUUGGGACGUUCUUUGACUCAUAUGAUAAUGUUGUCCGUCUCCUGGGCAUACUGAAGGAGAGGAAUCCCGGCACUUAUGUGAAUGUACAACACAUGAGGUUGCUGAGUAUACCAGAUUUCAAGGUGUUGAAACGAGUGUUCUUCUCUGGUAUGUGCAUCGAAGCUUUCCGGCAUUGUCCUCCUGUUAUGUUUGUGGAUGGUACAUUCCUGACCGGUCAGUAUAGAGGGCAAAUUCUGACUGCUAUUGGUGUGGACGGGAACAAUCAAAUCAUCCCACUUGCCAUGGCAUUUGUGGAGGGUGAGAACUUUCUCAGCUGGGUAUGGUUCUUCCGCCAAGUGAAAAUUGCCAUCGUGAAGGACCGACCAAACGUGUGUGUCAUUCAUGACAGACAUGCUGGUAUAUUGAAGGCCGUGAAGACACUUCGUAAUCCAACAGAUGACGAACCAACACCUUGGAGGGACUUGCAGAGCCGGUGGUGCAUGCGCCAUCUUGGGGCUAAUUUUUUUUCACAGUUCAAGAACAAGCGGUUGAUGAACUUGUUCAAAAAAUUAUGCAAGCAGAGCCAACAACGCAAAUACGAAUUUAUUUGGUCAAAACUAGAUGAGUUUACUAAGAAGCAGGUCCGUGCGAGGAAGAAAAUGGAAGAAGAUCAAGUUAAAUUAGCAGCACUCAUCGCGGAGCUAGAGGAGCCAGUAGGUCUUUGUGACUUGCCAGCAAUUGACCCUCCUAAUACUAAGAGAAAGAAGGGAAGGGCAAUAAAGAAUUCUUCUGAGUGGAUAGAGAAAGAGCCUCCAGUGAAUUGGUCUUUGCUGCAUGACACACAUGGAGCUAGGUAUGGCCACAUGACAACCAAUCUUGCAGAGGUGUAUAACUUUGUGCUGAGAGGGAAUAGAGCAUUGCCACUCACAGCUAUUGUGGAGGCUGUAUUCCACGGCACUUUGAGAUAUUUCAUAGAAAGGCACGAGUUAGCAAAGAAGCAUAUUGAAGAUAAUCAGAACACACCUUAUUGUAGCCGUGUCAUGGAAUACAUGGCAAAGAAGAUAGAGAAAGCAAAGAAGCACACUGUCAGACUCAUAGGGAAUCAAGAAAGGAGGUAUGAGGUUCAGCUUCCUAUCGAUGGUUUUGGUUCUGGAAAUGAGGUGAAGACACACGAGGUAAAAAUUGGAACGGAAUUUUAUUCAACGUGUGAGUGUACAUGCAACAAACCGAAGUUGUUGCACCUACCUUGCUCUCAUGUGUUGGCUGCCUGUGGCCAGAUUGAAUUGGAUGCUAUCUCCUUCGUGUCCCCAUACUUUUUAAAAGAGGCAGUGCUCAACACCUGGACAGGCGAGAUGACAGGGUUUAGAGUCGUCGGCAAUUUUAACAAGGUAAACGACGGUGAGAGAGUAUACAUCCCGCAUCCAGACCUUCGGCGAACAAGUAGGGGCAGACGAAAGGCCCGUCGCAUCCGGAACGAUAUGGACCAGUCUGAAGCUGGUGGAGCAACCAGGCAAUGUUUGUUAUGCGCGGCUUAUGGGCAUAGGAUGAAAUAUUGUCCCGACCUGAACAAAGAUGGUGCUUCCGCAUCGACGAGUGCUUCCACAUCGACGGGUGCGACAACAAGAGCAAGAGGCGGACGUGGUCGUGGCAGUCGAGGCCGAAGGGGCGGACGAGGAAGAAAUAACUCACAAGCUAUAUAA
rnacentral:rRNA from 1 species